GACGAACGCUGGCGGCGUGCUUAACACAUGCAAGUCGAACGGAAAGGCCCUGCUUUUGUGGGGUGCUCGAGUGGCGAACGGGUGAGUAACACGUGAGUAACCUGCCCUUGACUUUGGGAUAACUUCAGGAAACUGGGGCUAAUACCGGAUAGGAGCUCCUGCUGCAUGGUGGGGGUUGGAAAGUGUCGGCGGUUGGGGAUGGACUCGCGGCUUAUCAGCUUGUUGGUGGGGUAGUGGCUUACCAAGGCUUUGACGGGUAGCCGGCCUGAGAGGGUGACCGGCCACAUUGGGACUGAGAUGCGGCCCAGACUCCUACGGGAGGCAGCAGUGGGGAAUAUUGCACAAUGGGCGGAAGCCUGAUGCAGCAACGCCGCGUGCUGGAUGACGGCCGUCGGGUUGUAAACCGCUUUCGCCUGUGACGAAGCGUGAGUGACGGUAAUGGGUAAAGAAGCACCGGCUAACUACGUG
rnacentral:rRNA from 1 species